rnacentral:rRNA from 1 species
UACGUAGGUGGCAAGCGUUGUUCGGAAUUAUUGGGCGCAAAGGGCGCGUAGGCGGUUUGUUAAGUCGGCUGUGAAAGCCCGGGGCUCAACCCCGGAGGGUCAGCCGAUACUGGCAGACUAGAGUACGGAAGAGGUAGCUGGAAUUCCCGGUGUAGCGGUGAAAUGCGCAGAUAUCAGGAGGAACACCGGUGGCGAAGGCGGGUCUCUGGGCCGAUACUGACGCUGAGGAGCGAAAGCGUGGGGAGCAAACAGG